AUUGAACGCUGGCGGCAUGCCUAACACAUGCAAGUCGAGCGGAGCGGGGAACGGGUGGGUAAUGCCUAGGAAUCUGCCUGGUAGUGGGGGAUACCGUCCGGAAACGGGCGCUAAGACCACAUACUAUCAGUUCAGCCUAGGUCGGAUUAGCUGGUUGGUGGGGUAAAGGCUUACCAAGUCGACGAUCCGUAGCCGGCCUGAGAGGAUGAUCAGUCACACUGGAACUGAGACACGGCCCAGACUCCUACGGGAGGCAGCAGUAGGGAAUAUUGGACAAUGGGCGAAAGCCUGACCCAGCCACGCCGCGUGAGUGAAGAAGGUCUUCGGAUCGUAAAGCACUGUAAGUAGGGAGGCGGUACCUACAGAAUAAGCAACGGCUAACUACGUGCCAGCAGCCGCGGUAAUUC
rnacentral:rRNA from 1 species